rnacentral:rRNA from 1 species
AGCGAACGCUGGCGGCAGGCCUAACACAUGCAAGUCGAACGAAGUCUUCGGACUUAGUGGCGGACGGGUGAGUAACACGUGGGAACGUACCUUUAGGUUCGGAACAACUCAGGGAAACUUGAGCUAAUACCGGAUAAGCCCUUCGGGGGAAAGAUUUAUCGCCUUUAGAGCGGCCCGCGUUAGAUUAGCUAGGUGGUGAGGUAAAGGCUCACCAAGGCUACGAUCUAUAGCUGGUCUGAGAGGAUGAUCAGCCACACUGGGCCUGAGACACGGCCCAGACUCCUCCGGGAGGCAGCAGUGGGGAAUCUUGCGCAAUGGGCGAAAGCCUGACGCAGCCAUGCCGCGUGAAUGAUGUAGGUCUUAGGAUUGUAAAAUUCUUUUACCAGGGACGAUAAUGACGGUACCUGGAGAAAAAGCCCCGGCUAACUUCGUGCCAGCAGCCGCAGUAAGAC